rnacentral:rRNA from 1 species
UACGGAGGAUGCGAGCGUUAUCCGGAUUUAUUGGGUUUAAAGGGUGCGUAGGCGGGAUAUUAAGUCAGCGGUGAAAGCGUGUGGCUCAACCAUACCGAGCCGUUGAGACUGGUGUUCUUGAGAGCAAACGGGGUAGGCGGAAUGUGACGUGUAGCGGUGAAAUGCAUAGAUAUGUCACAGAACACCGAUUGCGAAGGCAGCUUACCAGCAUGCGUCUGACGCUGAGGCACGAAAGCGUGGGUAUCAAACA